AGUGAACGCUGGCGGUAGGCCUAACACAUGCAAGUCGAACGGCAGCACAGUAAGAGCUUGCUCUUACGGGUGGCGAGUGGCGGACGGGUGAGGAAUACAUCGGAAUCUACUUUUUCGUGGGGGAUAACGUAGGGAAACUUACGCUAAUACCGCAUACUACCUACGGGUGAAAGCAGGGGAUCUUCGCACCUUGCGCGAUUGAAUGAGCCGAUGUCGGAUUAGCUAGUUGGCGGGGUAAAGGCCCACCAAGGCGACGAUCCGUAGCUGGUCUGAGAGGAUGAUCAGCCACACUGGAACUGAGACACGGUCCAGACUCCUACGGGAGGCAGCAGUGGGGAAUAUUGGACAAUGGGCGCAAGCCUGAUCCAGCCAUACCGCGUGGAUGAAGAAGGCCUUCGGGUUGUAAAGCCCUUUUGUUGGGAAAGAAAAGCAGCAGGUUAAUACCCCGCUGUUCUGACGGUACCCAAAGAAUAAGCACCGGCUAACUUCGUG
rnacentral:rRNA from 1 species